UGCAUGUAUGACUGUAAGUUGCUUUGGAUAAAAGGGUCUGCUAAAUGGUAUUAA
rfam:Salmo salar isolate Sally breed double haploid chromosome ssa15, whole genome shotgun sequence.